rnacentral:rRNA from 1 species
GAUGAACGAUGGCGGGGGGAAGAAUGCAUGCAAGUCGAGCGAACGGACGAGAAGCUUGCUUCUCUGAUGUUAGCGGCGGACGGGUGAGUAACACGUGGAUAACCUACCUAUAAGACUGGGAUAACUUCGGGAAACCGGAGCUAAUACCGGAUAAUAUUUUGAACCGCAUGGUUCAAAAGUGAAAGGCGGUCUUGCUGUCACUUAUAGAUGGAUCCGCGCUGCAUUAGCUAGUUGGUAAGGUAACGGCUUACCAAGGCAACGAUGCAUAGCCGACCUGAGAGGGUGAUCGGCCACACUGGAACUGAGACACGGUCCAGACUCCUACGGGAGGCAGCAGUAGGGAAUCUUCCGCAAUGGGCGAAAGCCUGACGGAGCAACGCCGCGUGAGUGAUGAAGGUCUUCGGAUCGUAAAACUCUGUUAUUAGGGAAGAACAUAUGUGUAAGUAACUGUGCACAUCUUGACGGUACCUAAUCAGAAAGCCACGGCUAACUACGUG